rnacentral:lncRNA from 1 species
AUGGUGUUUCAGAAUAGAUAUUCAUCGGGCUAAUAUAAAACCUGAAAAGAUAAAGUAAAGAUCUGUCUAGUUAGACUACUUUCGUUUGCAGCGUGUUUACUUCAGCUAAUAAACGAAGUAUGAUUUAAAUAAUCAAUGUAUUCUAUAAAAAUAAUGCAGAUAAACAAAAAAUAACUAGUACUAACAAAUAAUGUAAAUCCGUGUCGAAUUGAAGGUCAUGAGAAUCCGUGUCGUCCGGGUCGAUCGGCUCCUUCUGUCGGACCACUAUCCAAGAAUUUCUUGAAAUCAUUAUCCAAAAAUUACAACAUAUCCUAGUUCAGAAAAAAAAAAAAAGAAUUACAACACAUCUAAUCUAACUCCAAUUUAUAUAAACUUCAAUUAAAAUACUAGUUCAAGUUAGAUGAUGAAAACUAUUAAGC